AGAGUUUGAUCCUGGCUCAGGAUGAACGCUGGCGGCGUGCCUAACACAUGCAAGUCGAACGAAGCACUUGAGAUCUUCGGAAGGAUAGUGACUGAGUGGCGGACGGGUGAGUAACGCGUGGGUAACCUGCCUCAUACAGGGGGAUAACAGUUAGAAAUGACUGCUAAUACCGCAUAAGCCUACAGUACCGCAUGGUACAGCAGGAAAAACUCCGGUGGUAUGAGAUGGACCCGCGUCUGAUUAGCUAGUUGGUGGGGUAACGGCCUACCAAGGCGACGAUCAGUAGCCGACCUGAGAGGGUGACCGGCCACAUUGGGACUGAGACACGGCCCAAACUCCUACGGGAGGCAGCAGUGGGGAAUAUUGCACAAUGGGCGAAAGCCUGAUGCAGCGACGCCGCGUGAGCGAAGAAGUAUUUCGGUAUGUAAAGCUCUAUCAGCAGGGAAGAAAAUGACGGUACCUGACUAAGAAGCACCGGCUAAAUACGUGCCAGCAGCCGCGGUAAUACGUAUGGUGCAAGCGUUAUCCGGAUUUACUGGGUGUAAAGGGAGCGUAGACGGCUGUGUAAGUCUGAAGUGAAAGCCCGGGGCUCAACCCCGGGACUGCUUUGGAAACUAUGCAGCUAGAGUGUCGGAGAGGAAAGCGGAAUUCCCAGUGUAGCGGUGAAAUGCGUAGAUAUUGGGAGGAACACCAGUGGCGAAGGCGGCUUUCUGGACGAUAACUGACGCUGAGGCGCGAGAGCGUGGGGAGCAAACAGGAUUAGAUACCCUGGUAGUCC
rnacentral:rRNA from 1 species